AGAGUGAACGCUGGCGGCAGGCCUAAUACAUGCAAGUCGAACGGCAGCACAGCAGAGCUUGCUCUGUGGGUGGCGAGUGGCGGACGGGUGAGGAAUACAUGGGAAUCUGCCCAGUCGUGGGGGAUAACGUAUGGAAACGUACGCUAAUACCGCAUGCGCCCGUUCGGGGGAAAGCCGGGGAUCGUUCGGACCUGGCGCGAUUGGAUGAGCCCAUGUCGGAUUAGCUAGGUUGGGGGGGUAAAGCCCACCGAAGGCGACGAUCCGUAGCUGGUCUGAGAGGAUGAUCAGCCACACUGGAACUGAGACACGGUCCAGACCUCCGACGGGAGCAGCAGUAGGAAUAGUGGACAAG
rnacentral:rRNA from 1 species